AGAAAGGCUGGGCAGUGGUAAGAAAGGUGGCCGGUGAGGGGAGGGCUGAUAGGAGACAGGUAGGUACUUGGCCUCAAGAGCCCUGAGCUCUGGCCUUAUCACUACCAUUUACCGCAGAGGGGCCCUGGACAAAUGGCUCACCCUUCAGACCCUCACUUUUGUCAUCUGUAAAAUGGCACUAGGGCUUCCUGAUCUCCUGACUUCCUGUAGUUACCCUAAGAAGCUUAUUAAAACAUGGGCAUAAGAACAUUUCGCAAAGCAUAAAUGUGCCUGAGCCCACGGCAUCCCUGCUACUUUGUGGAAGGGAUAGGAAGGUAAGGAAGGAGGCAGAGAGAGAGGACAGGAGGGGAGAAUGAGCGUCCACAUUCAAUGAUUCCAGACUAAGACAACAAGGGCAGAGGGGAGAGCUGCAAACAGGCCUGUCUUAGCGUGCUAGAAGAUUCCUAGAGGAAGGUGUAGCUCCCUAAAACUAGAUGGUCUGUGGAGGCGUCACAGGGCCCUGUGGAGAGGCUGGCCCACUGGCAUUAGAGGAGGCAGAGGUGUGCCCUGGUAUGUCCCCCUCCCUCUCCAGUGGCUGGUGUCACAGGGGGAAAGGACCAGAGAGCUCAUAAAGCCUAGCUACUCAGCUCAGAGAGAGACCACUCAGGCCCACUUAAGAAAGCAAACGAACUGCGUCUUGGGCUCACUCCUCUAAGACCAAGGGAACAUUAGGGCCUUUCAACCCAGCACUCGCUCUGUAGCUCCCCAGUGACUCGUCCCUUCCGCCUUGAAGUACGAGCGUGUGUUUCCUCGACCCAGGCCAGACUGUGCAUUCGUGGGCAACUUGAGGGCGGGAACAGAGAUGAUGGAGGUCACCCCUCCUCUGUGCCCUGCCCCCACCCGCAGCACAUGACGCACCACUGCGGAAGGAAACACGCGUGGAGAAGUGAACGAAUGGGUCGAUCAGGGCUGGUAACAGAGGCCAUGCCCUCACUGGUGAGGUCGCACUGUGCUGGGAUGCUCUGAACUUUGGUCCCCAGGAAGCACACAGAGCGGCCAGAAUAUGUGCAGGAGGAGGAGAAUGGGAUACGUCCUCCCGAUCCUCCCAAAGGAGGCCCCGUCACUCCCUCACCCGGUCCAGAGGCUGAAACAUGGCAAAGAGCGUUUAGCAGGCAUCCCCCUGUCCCCAUGGAGAAGGACAAACGGCAGGCUUCAAGAAGGUCAAAACUAAAGAGGAUCUUAAGGCCUCUAGGCCAACUCUAUGGGGAAACUGAGGCUCAUGGAAAGACAGAGGCUCUCCAGCUUCCAGAAGUCUCUUGCACAGCUGAACCCUCUUCCUCCUCACCUAAGAGAGGCAAUCCCCAGCCUGUCCAUGGAUCCAAAGUCAAGUCGAACCUCCUAACCGUGAGGGCCUCGGUGCCCCUGUCAGAGGCUCUGCAAAGGCCCGGCAAAGGCCGGAAGAAUCUGUUAAUGGGGGUGAUCUGGGGGAGGCCUUCCUUCCAUUAUCCUCACUGGAGUUUAUCUGUGUUGACUGGUCUGCAUAAGAUGCGUUUCAAUCUUGGCUCUCCUUAAGAAGAUACCGUUUAAGAUUUUUUUCCCUUGGUCCAAGACCAUCUAAAGAUAAGAAUUAGGAGGCUUUCUUUGGUUUGGCCAGGUCUCAGCCUGAAAAACAUCUUUGACAUCUAAGA